UGGGGAAUAUUGCACAAUGGGCGCAAGCCUGAUGCAGCCAUGCCGCGUGUAUGAAGAAGGCCUUCGGGUUGUAAAGUACUUUCAGCGAGGAGGAAGGCGUUGUGGUUAAUAACCGCAACGAUUGACGUUACUCGCAGAAGAAGCACCGGCUAACUCCGUGCCAGCAGCCGCGGUAAUACGGAGGGUGCAAGCGUUAAUCGGAAUUACUGGGCGUAAAGCGCACGCAGGCGGUCUGUCAAGUCGGAUGUGAAAUCCCCGGGCUCAACCUGGGAACUGCAUCCGAAACUGGCAGGCUAGAGUCUUGUAGAGGGGGGUAGAAUUCCAGGUGUAGCGGUGAAAUGCGUAGAGAUCUGGGGAAUACCGGUGGCGAAGGCGGCCCCCUGGACAAAGACUGACGCUCAGGUGCGAAAGCGUGGGGAGCAAACA
rnacentral:rRNA from 1 species